rnacentral:miRNA from 1 species
CUUUGAAGCUUUAAAGCCAGGCAUUGACUUCUCUCUAGCUAUGAAAAUCCUAGAUGGCAUCUUCUUCCAGUAGAAGGCUAUUUCUUCUACACUGGAAGUCUGGUU